AUGUAAGAAUUUAAAGGUCGAACAGACCUAUUAAUUAAGCGGCUGCACCUAAUUAUUAUCUUAAUCCAACAUCGAGGUCGCAAGCCCCUCUGUAAAUAUGAACUCUGGAGAGGGAUUACGCUGUUAUCCCUAAGGUAACUUAAUCUAACAAUCAAUAAGAUUGGAUCUAAUAUUCAUAUAUCAAUGUAGUUAAAAUAAAAAAGUUAUUUAUAUAUUUUUGUCACCCCAACAAAAUAUUUUCUAUUAAUAAUAAAUGAUAAUAAACUAUAAUAAAUUAAUAAUAAAAAUAUAAAGCUCUAUAGGGUCUUCUCGUCUUCCAAUAAUAUUUUAGCUUUUUAACUAAAAAAUUAAAUUCUAAAUUCAAAUUAAAUGAGACAGUCAACACCUCGUUAAACCCUUCAUACCAGCCCUCUAUUAAAAGACUAAUGAUUAUGCUACCUUUGCACGGUCAGUAUACCGCGGCCGUUAAAAUAUUUUCACUGGGCAGGCCAGACUUCCUAAAUAUAACAAGAAGAC
rnacentral:rRNA from 1 species